rnacentral:lncRNA from 1 species
AAAAAUAAAAGGUCCUCACUUUGUAGACCAGGCUGCCUCGAACUCAGAAAUCCGCCUGCCUCUGCCUCCCAAGUGCUGGGAUCAAAGGCGUACGCCACCACGCCUGUCUCGAAGAAAAACAAGCAAACAAACAAAAAAGCCGGGCGGAUUUCUGAGUUUGAGGCUGGCCUGGUCUACAGAGUGAGUUCCAGGACAGCCAGGGCUAUACAGAGAAACCCUGUCUCGAAAAACCAAGAAUGAAUGAAUGAAUGAAUGAAUAAAUAAAUAAAUAAAUAAAUAAAUAAAUAAAUGGUCUUUGGGAAAUGUGGUGUAGCUCAAGGGUAUUUGUUUCCAUACACAAGGUUCAAUCCGCAGUACCACUUAAUAAAUGAACUAACCAGAAAUGAAUGAUACUCCAAAUAAAAUGGGCACUGAAGGAUGUCGCUCACUUGCCUGCCAUGCAUGAGACCCUUGGUUCAAUCCCUGAUACUGCAAAAGAGGGAGAGAGAAAGGAUAUAACAACAACAAAAAGGCUUUGAAAGGAAGUUUCAGAUAUUUGGAGUUUCUAAAUUACCUUUAGUAGUAAGUAAUGAUGCCUUUUCCUCCUGUACCCACUCUGUCAACAAUUGCUUUAUAGCCCAGAGUGAGCUUUAACUCCUGAUUCUUUAUGUUGAGAUUGGUGGAAGGGGAGAGCAUGAAUCACACACACCACAGAAGGCUGUAAUGUCUUCUCAAUAUGUACCUUGCCAAAGAGCUUAUAAAAUGGGGACUAAGCAUGCAAAUACAUGAACCUAUGAGGGGGGGUGGGACAGUCUCAUUUAAACCAUGAUUGAGUCAGCAAUUAAUUACACUUGCUUGUAGAACUAAUUCAUACAUGUAUAUUUUAAUUGAUAGUGUUUUUGUCUUUUAAAACAGUAAAGCUUUAGAAUAUAUGUAUAAUGAAAUGUUGAGCUUUAUGUUGGUAAGUUGAUCUUAAGCAGUGGAAAUUUUAAAGUGUUUUUGUGUUGUGGACUGGUGUUUACACACUUGAGUCCAGUUGCCCUUGGAGGCCAGAGCCGUUGGAUCUCCUGGAGCUGAAGUUACAUGUGGUUAUGAGCCUAUGUGGAUGCUGGGAACUGAAUUUGGAUCCUGGAAGAACAAGCGCACCCUUAACCACUGAGCCAUUUAUCUUAGUUAUGUUUAUUAUUGUGAUGAAACACCAUGACCAAAAGCAACUUGGAGAACAAACCGUUUAUUUCACUUACACUUCCAGAUAACAGUUAAAAGCAGUGAAGGCAAGAACUCAAGCAGGGCAGGAACCUGGAGGCAUAUGUUGAUGUGUAGAGGCCAUGGGAGAACACUGCUUACUGGCUUGCUUUUCAUGGCUUGGUCAGCUUGUUUCUUUAUAGAACUCAGGAGCAACAAUCUAGAGAUGGUCUCGCCCACAAUGGGCUGGGUCCUCCCAUAUCAAUUACUCAGAAAUCCGCCCGCCUCUGCCUCCCAAGUGCUGGGAUUAAAGGCGUGCAACACCAUGCCCCCCAUAUCAAUUACU